CCUACGAGAGGCAGCAGUGAGGAAUAUUGGUCAAUGGCCGUAAGGCUGAACCAGCCAAGUAGCGUGAGGGAUGACUGCCCUAUGGGGUGUAAACCUCUUUUAUGCGGGGAUAAAGGUGUCCACGUGUGGAUGUUUGCAGGUACCGCAUGAAUAAGGACCGGCUAGUUCCGUGCCAGCAGCCGCGGUAAUACGGAAGGUCCGUGCGUUAUCCGGAUUUAUUGGGUUUAAAGGGAGCGUAGGCCGGUCUUUAAGCGUACCGGUAAAUUUUGUGGCUCAACCAUCAGAGUGCGGCGCGAACUGGAGACCUUAAGUGCGCGGAAUGCAGGCGGAAUUCGUGGUGUAGCGGUGAAAUGCUUCG
rnacentral:rRNA from 1 species